GAUGAACGCUGGCGGCGUGCCUAAUACAUGCAAGUCGAGCGAACAGACGAGGAGCUUGCUCCUCUGACGUUAGCGGCGGACGGGUGAGUAACACGUGGAUAACCUACCUAUAAGACUGGGAUAACUUCGGGAAACCGGAGCUAAUACCGGAUAAUAUAUUGAACCGCAUGGUUCAAUAGUGAAAGACGGUUUUGCUGUCACUUAUAGAUGGAUCCGCGCCGCAUUAGCUAGUUGGUAAGGUAACGGCUUACCAAGGCAACGAUGCGUAGCCGACCUGAGAGGGUGGUCGGCCACACUGGAACUGAGACACGGUCCAGACUCCUACGGGAGGCAGCAGUAGGGAAUCUUCCGCAAUGGGCGAAAGCCUGACGGAGCAACGCCGCGUGGGUGAUGAAGGUCUUCGGAUCGUAAAACUCUGUUAUUAGGGAAGAACAAAUGUGUAAGUAACUAUGCACGUCUUGACGGUACCUAAUCAGAAAGCCACGGCUAACUACGUG
rnacentral:rRNA from 1 species